AUUGAACGCUGGCGGCAUGCCUUACACAUGCAAGUCGAACGGCGGCACGGGGGCAACCCUGGUGGCGAGUGGCGAACGGGUGAGUAAUACAUCGGAAUGUACCCAGUAGUGGGGGAUAACUAGUCGAAAGAUUAGCUAAUACCGCAUACGCACUAUGGUGGAAAGCGGGGGAUCGCAAGACCUCGCGCUAUUGGAGCAGCCGAUGUCCGAUUAGGUAGUUGGUGGGGUAAAGGCCUACCAAGCCUGCGAUCGGUAACUGGUCUGAGAGGACGACCAGUCACACUGGGACUGAGACACGGCCCAGACUCCUACGGGAGGCAGCAGUGGGGAAUUUUGGACAAUGGGGGAAACCCUGAUCCAGCAAUGCCGCGUGUGUGACGAAGGCC
rnacentral:rRNA from 1 species